UUUUGACAUUCGUUUUAUUUAAAAUAUUUUUCUGAUUAAUAAUUUUAUUGUCAUUAGAUGGUAAAACAUGAAUAGUAUUUUAUACGUGACUAAUUUCUUUAAGUUUUUGUACAAAUUUUUUAAAUAAGAUAAAUGGUCAAAG
rnacentral:pre_miRNA from 1 species